UACGUAGGGUGCAAGCGUUGUCCGGAAUUAUUGGGCGUAAAGAGCUCGUAGGCGGUUUGUCGCGUCUGCUGUGAAAUCCCAGGGCUUAACCCUGGGCCUGCAGCGGGUACGGGCAAACUAGAGUGCGGUAGGGGGAGAGUCGGAAUUCCUGGUGUAGCGGUGAAAUGCGCAGAUAUCAGGAGGAACACCGAUGGCGAAGGCAGGUCUCUGGGCCACUACUGACGCUGAGAAGCGAAAGCAUGGGGAGCGAACAGG
rnacentral:rRNA from 1 species